rnacentral:rRNA from 1 species
GCAUAAGCGCCCGCCUGGGGAGUACGAUCGCAAGAUUAAACUCAAAGGAAUUGGCGGGGCCCCGCACAAGCAGCGGAGCAUGCGGCUUAAUUCGACGCAACGCGAAGAACCUUACCAAGGCUUGACAUAUACAGGAAUACGGCAGAGAUGUCGUAGCCGCAAGGUCUGUAUACAGGUGGUGCAUGGUUGUCGUCAGCUCGUGUCGUGAGAUGUUGGGUUAAGUCCCGCAACGAGCGCAACCCUCGUUCUGUGUUGCCAGCAUUUAGUUGGGGACUCACAGGAGACUGCCGGGGUUAACUCGGAGGAAGGUGGGGAUGACGUCAAAUCAUCAUGCCCCUUAUGUCUUGGGCUGCACGCAUGCUACAAUGGCUGGUACAAACGGCUGCGAUACCGCAAGGUGGAGCGAAUCCGAGAAAGCCAGUCUCAGUUCGGAUUGGGGUCUGCAACUCGACCCCAUGAAGUCGGAGUUGCUAGUAAUCGUAGAUCAGCAACGCUACGGUGAAUACGCUCCCGGGGCUUGUACACACCGCCCGUCACAUCACGAAAGUCGGUAACACCCAAAGUCAGUGGCCCAACCGCAAGGAGGGAGCUGCCAAAGGUGGGAUCGGUGAUUGGGAUGAAGUCGUAACAAGGUAACCGUA